rnacentral:rRNA from 1 species
UACGUAGGCAGCGAGCGUUGUUCGGAUUUACUGGGCGUAAAGCGCACGUAGGCGGAUCGUUAAGUCGGGGGUGAAAUCCUGGAGCUCAACUCCAGAACUGCCUUUGAUACUGAGAAGCUUGAGUCCGGGAGAGGUGAGUGGAACUGCGAGUGUAGAGGUGAAAUUCGUAGAUAUUCGCAAGAACACCAGUGGCGAAGGCGGCUCACUGGCCCGGUACUGACGCUGAGGUGCGAAAGCGUGGGGAGCAAACAGG